UACGAAGGGUGCUAGCGUUGUUCGGAAUCACUGGGCGUAAAGCGUACGUAGGCGGAUCGUUAAGUCAGGGGUGAAAGCCUGGAGCUCAACUCCAGAACUGCCUUUGAUACUGGCGAUCUUGAGACCGGGAGAGGUGAGUGGAACUGCUAGUGUAGAGGUGAAAUUCGUAGAUAUUAGCAAGAACACCAGUGGCGAAGGCGGCUCACUGGCCCGGUACUGACGCUGAGGUACGAAAGCGUGGGGAGCAAACAGG
rnacentral:rRNA from 1 species